UGGGGAAUAUUGCACAAUGGGCGAAAGCCUGAUGCAGCGACGCCGCGUGAGUGAAGAAGUAUUUCGGUAUGUAAAGCUCUAUCAGCAGGGAAGAAAAUGACGGUACCUGACUAAGAAGCCCCGGCUAACUACGUGCCAGCAGCCGCGGUAAUACGUAGGGGGCAAGCGUUAUCCGGAUUUACUGGGUGUAAAGGGAGCGUAGACGGCGAAGCAAGUCUGAAGUGAAAACCCAGGGCUCAACCCUGGGACUGCUUUGGAAACUGUUUUGCUAGAGUGUCGGAGAGGUAAGUGGAAUUCCUAGUGUAGCGGUGAAAUGCGUAGAUAUUAGGAGGAACACCAGUGGCGAAGGCGGCUUACUGGACGAUAACUGACGUUGAGGCUCGAAAGCGUGGGGAGCAAACAGG
rnacentral:rRNA from 4 species